GCUAACCCUAAAUUCCUGCAACAUCUCUGUAUUCUCGCCUGUUGUCUUCAUCCGAGAUAAUAAUAAGAAGGCGCGGAAGACUCUGCUUUCAACACGAAAAGAAAAGAAUAGCAGGGACUAUAAACCAUAUAUAGAUUGUUAAUCAUCACCUACGACGACAACAAGCACUUCAACGACUCGGAAUGAAUCAUAAAACACGGUGCUUGGAGGUUGCAAAGAGGGUUGCUAGAGAGAUUAGUUUCAACUCUAUGGUUUAUCUAGAAGAAGUAUAAAACAAAUACUCAGGAAAACUCAGUGGUGGUAAUGUGGAUGUUGGACUGGUGAUGUUGUUGGAGUUGGUGGCAGUGGGAGUGUUGGACUGGUGGUGGUCAGAUUGAAGUAAAGGCGUAAAAAGCACAACGCACAACCAAUACAGCACCACCAUCAUCCAUUGCUGGGUUUCUUUGGUAUUUUGAUGGGCAUAAAAGUGUGAAAGGCUGAAAGCUGCAAAAUUUGCAACAGAUAACAUGGAUAAGAAUAUAAUGAAUGAAGUAGCUAGAAGAGGAGAUAUUGCUGAGGCUGUAAAAGAUGCUUACCAGUUUACUACUGUUUAGAAUUUCUGAAAGAUGAUCUUCACAGUGGCACUUAUGCGUGACUCUGUAGAUUUGAAAAGGAUAUAAUCUUCACUCAAAUUGGUUGGUGUUACCUGGGAUGCAAGGCAUACAAUAAAAAAGUGGUUGGUGACAAAGUGGACAGCUGAAGUAAUUAUUUUGAGGCAAAAGUAGACUCAUCAACCUAAAGGUACCUAAUGCACUUCGAAGUUGAGGACUCUACCAGACUGUGUUUGUGGCUAUAGAUUGUUAGGCCAAGGAAUUGGUUAGGUAUGCAGCUUCAGAAAUAUUGAUCAUAGAAUAGGCUUAGGUGGUGCAGCAGGCAGGCUUGAUGGUGCAGGUGGACUUUGUGGUCUUUGUGGUGGCAGUUGUCUUGGUGGACUAGGUGGUUUGGGAGGUGAAGUGGCCUUAGUGGACUAGGCAGUUUCUAGGAUAUAUACUGCUAAACUUAAAGACAAAUGUUUUCCCUUGAUCAAAGAACGAAAUUCUGCUCUCUUUGUUUUGUUACACCUCGUUUCAUAAGUCAUCUUGGUUUCGGAAUUUUUACAAUUCAGAUUCAUUCUAAACUAAAGUUGAUUUUUUUCCCCUAACUGAUGUUGGCAGUGUAAUUUCACCAAGCUUUGGGCGAUGGUUCAAUGAUCAAGGGAAGAUUUCUAAAGAUGUUCAACGGUUAAGAGCAGAAAUGUAAACAUUAAGGACAAAACACACUCUAUUUCACCAAGCUUUGGGCGAUUGUUCAUAUUGCAAUUUUAAAACACACUCUAUUUCUGAGCUUCCAGAACUUUGAAUUUACUGUUAAUGGGUAACAAUCCAAAGAUCCUUCAUCAUUCUAUGUUUAUCCUUGGUUGUUUUAUAAGAAACCACAAGAUUAAUAUUUGGAACAGUGUUGAAAUUUCUUUGUAAUCCAGUUACAAAUCCUUCCAGCAAAUCUGCAAUACAAUAUGCUAUUGUUCAAAGACUCACACCCCUUUUGUAUACCGUUUAUUAACCCAGGGGAUGCUAGAUCUGGUUACCAUUUUAUCUUGAGUAGCAAAAUACUCCCUUCCCAUUAUCCUUCAGUAAUUAGAUGUAACAAAUGGAAUAACAACACCCCUCCAAAUCAGUUUUGCUUCAGCCUUAACUUCCAAAUGAUUAUGCUACAACUCCUUCGCAUACUUCAUUGUAAAUCCACCUUUAAGAUCAGGAGCCCAUAUAACUUGAUAUGCACUUCCUGAAAUUCUUGGGAGAGCAUCUGGAUCAUAACCAGCUCGAAGAAGUAAAUUACGAACAUGAGCAGAAACUACCCACUAAUCCUUUACAAUCAAUACUGAAACCUUAGAAUUAAACAUAUUUCUGUCAUCCUUCAUGACUCCAAUUGAAGUUGUAAUCAAUCUAUAACCACAUCAGUCAUCAAAGUAUAGCAAUGUGAACCUACCAUCUCCUAUGAUACACCUAAUAUUGCUUUCAACCACCGGAUAAACCCAC